AGUGAACGCUGGCGGUAGGCCUAACACAUGCAAGUCGAACGGCAGCACAGUAAGAGCUUGCUCUUACGGGUGGCGAGUGGCGGACGGGUGAGGAAUACAUCGGAAUCUACUUUUUCGUGGGGGAUAACGUAGGGAAACUUACGCUAAUACCGCAUACGACCUACGGGUGAAAGCAGGGGAUCUUCGGACCUUGCGCGAUUGAAUGAGCCGAUGUCGGAUUAGCUAGUUGGCGGGGUAAAGGCCCACCAAGGCGACGAUCCGUAGCUGGUCUGAGAGGAUGAUCAGCCACACUGGAACUGAGACACGGUCCAGACUCCUACGGGAGGCAGCAGUGGGGAAUAUUGGACAAUGGGCGCAAGCCUGAUCCAGCCAUACCACGUGGGUGAAGAAGGCCUUCGGGUUGUAAAGCCCUUUUGUUGGGAAAGAAAAGCAGCAGGUUAAUACCCCGCUGUCCUGACGGUACCCAAAGAAUAAGCACCGGCUAACUUCGUG
rnacentral:rRNA from 1 species